CGUUUGUGGAUCUAUACGGCUUUAAUGUUUGCCAGUUCUCACUCUGGACUGGGCGAGAAAAUGGGAAUGGCCAAUUACUGCAAAUGCCCAAUUAAGAAGCAUAUUUUUCGUGGAAGAAAACCCUAAGACUAACGGAGGAACUGAACUGAUCUAAACGCUUUGGUUAUGGACCAAAUAAUGGAAAAUAACAUCAAACUAAUGUCUUCUAAUGGAGCGUUAUGAAAAAAUUACAAGAAAAUAUGAGAAUACUGGCUUAUUCUCAUAUUAUAUUAAACUAGUUGCUGUCUUUAAGAAUCACGUUUUUAAAGUGUUGUGCCAUAAAAAUCUAUAAAAGCUAUAUUUAAGCCUUCAUUGAAUCCAAUCUAUAUCAAAAUUCUGUCACUAACGACAAAGAUGAUGAUUAAUAAACUAAAGUUGCACAAUUGCCUAAA